CAUAAAUUGGUUUUGCUUCACACUGUCUUGAUAAAGAGUGUGUGAAGCUUUUGAGAAUUGUGGUUGAACUCCUUUGAUGAAGCUCUUGUUGGCACCAUAAAUUGGUUUUGCUUCACACUGUCUUGAUCAAGAGUGUGUGAAGCUUUUGAGAAUAAUGGUUGCCCUCCAUUGAUGAAGCUCUUGUUGGCACCAUAAAUUGGUUUUGCUUCACGCUGUCUUGAUCAAGAGUGUGUGAAGCUUUUGAGAAUUCGUAGUGUUUGCAUUGUUAUAGAGGGGAAAUGUUUGAAGCAUAUGCAAGAGGGCUGAAUAGCUUGAUCUUCGUAUGCUAUGCACUGAAGUUGUUAUUGGCUUGCAAUAAGACUUUGUUGGUGACUAUAACUCUUGUUGGGCAUAAGUGCUCCCCUAGUUGAGUUAUCAAGCUUUAGGGUUUUUUAUUAUUUGUGAAUGCUAAGAGUUCAUGGGGGCGUUUCUUUACCGUCACUAAGUGGGACUAGACUGGACUGGGCUAGCUGUUAGUCCAAUACUGUGUUUGUUCCAUGUUGGGACUAACAUUAAUGAGACUAAAGGGGACUAGCAUGGACAAAACCCUUCACUAAGAGGUCUUAGCGAGACCCCCCAAUAACUAUGGGACUAGCUAAGACUAUCCUCUCUCGUCCUCGUCAUGCUCAACAACCACUCCUGAUAGACUCCUCGUCAUCUCCGGUCACCUAGAUCAUAAUAAAAUAUUA
rnacentral:lncRNA from 1 species